rnacentral:rRNA from 1 species
CUACGGGACGCUGCAGUGGGGAAUAUUGGACAAUGGGCGAAAGCCUGAUCCAGCAAUGCCGCGUGAGUGAUGAAGGCCUUAGGGUUGUAAAGCUCUUUUACCCGGGAUGAUAAUGACAGUACCGGGAGAAUAAGCUCCGGCUAACUCCGUGCCAGCAGCCGCGGUAAUACGGAGGGAGCUAGCGUUGUUCGGAAUUACUGGGCGUAAAGCGCACGUAGGCGGCUUUGUAAGUUAGAGGUGAAAGCCUGGAGCUCAACUCCAGAAUUGCCUUUAGGACUGCAUCGCUCGAAUCCAGGAGAGGUCAGUGGAAUUCCGAGUGUAGAGGUGACAUUCGUAGAUAUUCGGAAGAACACCAGUGGCGAAGGCGGCUGACUGGACUGGUAUUGACGCUGAGGUGCGAAAGCGUGGGGAGCAAACAGGAUUAGAUACCCGAGUAGUC